rnacentral:lncRNA from 1 species
GUCACGUGAGCGCAGCACGCGCGGGACGGGAAGCGACGCGGGCGGGGCGCAGGCGCCAGGUGCCUCCCGGGGCCUGAGCUUCUCGGCGGGAUGGGUGAGGCGCGGGUGCCUGGCCGGGCCUCAGUUUCCCCUCCCACCGCGCCCUGCUGGAUUGUGGCGGGUGCUUCCCAGCUUACAGCAACUGUUCCCAACCUCGACCGACGGGUAGGGGAAAAUAGAGAACUUGGAUCAAAGUGGCAUGGAGCCUACCAGAGAUGGAUGAUGAAUUGCAGCUCUAACUUGGAAGUCCCCACAUUGGACUAUGUCUUGGACUGAGAGAUUGAUAAUCAACUCUCCCCACAACCCUGCAAGAGUGCAAAGUGGUGCUGAAACCAAAAGGUUUGGGAACCUCGGACCUGGAUGCUUCUGUGGCUACCUGCGCUUAGCAUCGCUUGACAUCAGCUCACCAUAUCCGUAAGUCACGCCACCGCCCUCAUUAUCUUUGUGAGAAAACCAUUUGAGCAGCAAGGCGGGUGCCCUUUGAUUUCAUGACACGUUCUUCUGACGGGUCUGUUUAAGUCAAUCCUGCCAACAGUCCUAAAAAAUAACUGUUGCCAAACAAGCAGGAGCGAGGUCUUCCCACCAUGCCAGGCCUACAGACACUGUCAUGGAAGUGUCAAUCGCUUUCGGUGAAAAACAAAAAAGUCUUUGGUUACAG